AUGUGCUCUAUGUUAUGUAUGCAGAUCAUUGGCAUUUUAUUGUUCACAGAAAUGGUCGACCGAGGCAAUAACUAUGAGUAUAUUAGACCUGGACUCUCUAUCUUGCGGACGCAAGAUGGACCCACCUGCCUUUUCAAUGCAAUAGGGUACACCACGGAUUUAGCGUGGCCAGGAGUUUGGAUUGAUGCUGAUUCUUAUGCGGACGACUACGAGAGUCAGUUGCUGGUACCUGUGGGGUACGACUGGAGUCCCCGUGCCAUUACUGCACUUGAGUUAUUCAAGAAUAGAGGGGUCAAGGCAAUUUGCAAGGAUGGAAAUGAGAUCCGGGUACGCAUCGCAGGUUACAAGUGCCAUGCGCCCAUGAUACAUGAAAGGGUGUUUCAUAUGAUAGAGUCUGGGGCCAACCUGAUGGGAACCUUUGCCGUGCGGCCCAAGGAAUUUGCUAACUUGGGGGAUAGGAUUUAUGAGCUCGACACACCGUUCCAACCUAAUGAGCGUCCGGCGUCGCAUAUCGUCACGUUUGUUGGGCACGGAAAGAAGAAUGGACGUCCAUACUUGGUUUUCUUGAACACCCACGGGUCUGAAUUUGGGACACUUGGAUUAGGACGGGUCUACUUCGAUCAGGUGUUCCAGGAUCCCAGGGAAGAGCAUAAGGGAUUUAGGUUCAUAUCCGUGAUUGCUGGUGCUCAUCCUACCCAGGCAGCAAAGCGUCGGCGGCGGCAUACUACCAGAACCCAGGAAGAGCAGAGGAGGAAGACACCGUACUGA
rnacentral:rRNA from 1 species